CAGACGUCCUACGGGAGGCAGCAGUGGGGAAUAUUGCACAAUGGGGGAAACCCUGAUGCAGCGACGCCGCGUGGAGGAAGAAGGUCUUCGGAUUGUAAACUCCUGUUGUUGAGGAAGAUAAUGACGGUACUCAACAAGGAAGUGACGGCUAACUACGUGC
rnacentral:rRNA from 1 species